rnacentral:rRNA from 1 species
ACCUACGGGGGGCAGCAGUAGGGAAUCUUCCACAAUGGACGAAAGUCUGAUGGAGCAACGCCGCGUGAGUGAAGAAGGGUUUCGGCUCGUAAAGCUCUGUUGGUAGUGAAGAAAGAUAGAGGUAGUAACUGGCCUUUAUUUAACGGUAAUUACUUAGAAAGUCACGGCUAACUACGUGCCAGCCGCCGCGGUAAUUCGUAGGUGGCAAGCGUUUGCCGGAUUUUUUGGGCGUAAAGCGAGU